rnacentral:sRNA from 1 species
AAAGACUUACAUUCUACGGUUGGUUUUCAUUUCGAGGGCUAAAUAUUUAUCACAAGCAUCUUAUUUGCUUAACUUUGGAACUCAAAAGCCAUUGUAGGGUUAGCAUAUAUUUCCGUACAGGGAAUAUUGGCUAUUCUCACUGGAUUUGGGAACCUCAACAAACAUUCAGUCUGUCUGCCGGAUGUAAUAAUGGAUGUCUUUUCAUUCAUCAUAAUAUAGGGGAACAUUCUAUGAUACUGUAACUAGUAAAAAUUACCAACAUCGCAUUGUCGCACGAAGAUUAAGGAAUUUCUAGGUCCGAAAGGCGAAAACGACUUGAAGCCAACCUAUUGAGAAAUCAACCAACCCCCAUUCUGUUCAAAUCUGUGAUGGGAAAUGCCUGACUCUACUUUUAAUCCUAAACGGAAGGCUAUUAAUAUACCA